rnacentral:ncRNA from 1 species
ACCGUCUGUUGCUACUACCGAUUAAAUGAUUUAGUGAGGUUUUCGAACUGGCUUUCAAAGCAGCUUUCGUGUCACGUUGGUGUGCCGGAAAGAUUACCAGACUUAAUCAUUUACAGAAAGUAAAAUUUGUAACCUGGUUUUUAUGGGAGAACCUGCGGAAG